rnacentral:rRNA from 1 species
UACGGGGGGGCAAGCGUUGUUCGGAAUUACUGGGCGUAAAGGGCUCGUAGGCGGCCAACUAAGUCAGACGUGAAAUCCCCAGGCUUAACCUGGGAACUGCGUGUGAUACUGGAUGGCUUGAAUUCGGGAGAGGGAUGCAGAAUUCCAGGUGUAGCGGUGAAAUGCGUAGAUAUCUGGAGGAACACCGGUGGCGAAGGCGGCAUCCUGGACCGGUAUUGACGCUGAGGCGCGAAAGCCAGGGGAGCAAACGGG